rnacentral:rRNA from 1 species
AUUGAACGCUGGCGGCAGGCCUAAUACAUGCGAGUCGAGCGGAUGAAGGGAGCUUGCUCCUGGAUUCAGCGGCGGACGGGCGAGUAAUGCCUAGGAAUCUGCCUGGUAGUGGGGGCUAACGUCCGGACACGGGCGCUAAUACCGCAUACGUCCUGAGGGAGAAAGUGGGGGAUCUUCGGACCUCACGCUAUCAGAUGAGCCUAGGUCGGAUUAGCUAGUUGGUGGGGUAAAGGCCUACCAAGGCGACGAUCCGUAACUGGUCUGAGAGGAUGAUCAGCCACACUGGAACUGAGACACGGUCCAGACUCCUACGGGAGGCAGCAGUGGGGAAUAUUGGACAAUGGGCGAAAGCCUGAUCCAGCCAUGCCGCGUGUGUGAAGAAGGUCUUCGGAUUGUAAAGCACUGUAAGUUGGGAGGAAGGGCAGUAAGAUAAUACCUUGCUGUUUUGACGGUACCAACAGAAUAAGCACCGGCUAACUUCGUG